rnacentral:lncRNA from 1 species
GGAAGAAAAAGACAGUCACUGAGCUAAACGUGCACACCAUCAGAAUUCUUUCCAACAAUUGAUCGAUUAAUUCUUUCGCCUGUCAGUUUCUAUUCUACAAGGAAAGGGUUGACCCCUUCUAGAGUAUUUAAGGGCAAAGGACAUAACAUAUGCAUGCUUGAUCAGAGUAUCAACUAGCAUCAAAUUAGUAUGCUUGCCCUCAAAUUUAGGCAACUUCCCUCAGAAAUUUUGUUUUUUUCCUAGCUCAGGGACUGAGUUGGUGUGGCCAACAGUUGUAUGAGGAGUGAGGGAU